UCCUGGAAACGGGUGGUAAUGCCGGAUGUGCCGGGCUCCUGCAUGGGGGUCCGGGAAAGCUCUGGCGGCGUGGCAUGGGGUUGCGUCCUAUCAGCUUGUUGGCGGGGUGAGGGCUCACCAAGGCUUCGACGGGUAGCCGGCCUGAGAGGGCGACCGGCCACAUUGGGACUGAGAUACGGCCCAGACUCCUACGGGAGGCAGCAGUGGGGAAUAUUGCACAAUGGGCGCAAGCCUGAUGCAGCGACGCCGCGUGCGGGAUGGAGGCCUUCGGGUUGUAAACCGCUUUUGUUUGGGAGCAAGCCCUUCGGGGUGAGUGUACCUUUCGAAUAAGCACCGGCUAACUACGUGCCAGCAGCCGCGGUAAUACGUAGGGUGCGAGCGUUAUCCGGAUUUAUUGGGCGUAAAGGGCUCGUAGGCGGUUCGUCGCGUCCGGUGUGAAAGUCCAUCGCCUAACGGUGGAUCUGCGCCGGGUACGGGCGGGCUGGAGUGCGGUAGGGGAGACUGGAAUUCCCGGUGUAACGGUGGAAUGUGUAGAUAUCGGGAAGAACAC
rnacentral:rRNA from 1 species